UACGAAGGGGGGCUAGCGUUGCUCGGAAUCACUGGGCGUAAAGGGUGCGUAGGCGGGUCUUUUAAGUCAGGGGUGAAAUCCUGGAGCUCAACUCCAGAACUGCCUUUGAUACUGAGGAUCUUGAGUAUGGGAGAGGUGAGUGGAACUGCGAGUGUAGAGGUGAAAAUUCGUAGAUAUUCGCAAGAACACCAGUGGCGAAGGCAGUGCCCUGGCCGACGGCUGACGCUCAGGCGCGAAAGCGUGGGGAGCAAACAGGG
rnacentral:rRNA from 1 species